CCUAGCAGGGGGACACCGUGGGCCAGCGCGCGUCAGGGUUAGUUUUACCCUGGGGCACUGCAGGCUCGCAGGACUGACUAGCCCUUACUUGGUAUUUUGCAUUAGUCAGGCAUUAUUGGGAACAAUAUUUGAGUUUUUCUUGCUUGAAUGCCUGCUACUGUGUCGUCUCGGGGCCGUCUUGUUUUCACAGUCUCAAAGGGUUGGCUUCUGCACUCCCAGCCGCUAAGGAGCAAGUGUAGCAGCAUGAAUGACCCUAUAUUUACACCUGCUAAGCACCUGACAGCCAACUGACCUUUAUGUUUAGCUGUGUCUGAUUUUCUUUCCUGUUACCAUCAAGAGCAUGUCUGUGGCAUUACACAUCAACACAGGGAUUAUGAAAACAAUCAGGUACAGAACUAUAUUCCAUAAGUAGAUUUGCAAAAUAAAGUAUUUUAUUCCCUUCUCAUUAUAAUGGUAGAGACAGAAAAUUUCAUUUAAGCAUCAUAAACUUUAUACUACACACUUAAGUGUGCCAGAAAAGCAAGCAAAACAAAGAAUAUUAGGACUAGGAAUAACUUCAGAGGGCAAUUGGUGUCCAGUCCCUGCUUUUCAGAUGAAAAUGUAAGGUCUCAGGUCAGCAGAAUUGCUUAAUAAUACAAGUUAGGCAAUAUAGUAUUUUACUCAUAGUUAGCAUAUACAGUAUUUCUCAUUAUAACUGAUGUAAUAGAAAAAAAUCUUUUGGCUUUCUUGCAAUUAAAAAGUUACAGGUGAGGUUGCAGUAAGCCUAGAUAGCACCACUGCAUUCCAGCCUGGGUAACAAAGCAAGACCCUGUCUCCAAAACAAAACAAAAGUCACAGGUAUUGCAUAUUUAUUGAUCACAUUGCUCACUGACCUACUCCAUUUUGGAAAAAAAGAGAACACAGGAUUUUUUUUUUCUUGUGAUGGGAAAUUUUGAUUCAAAAAAGACCAAUUCCUAAUCACGUUGUUUCUAGUCUUCCUUUAAAAGUUACUUCUUCAAAAUCCCAAGAAAUAAAAGAGAUUUGCUAAAGAUCCAACUAAGCAAAAGUCCUGUCAAGUAUAUUUACAUAUAUUCACCACCUACUUGCCCUUCUUUCUUGGUGACCUAGCUGUAUGUCCUUUGCCCAUUUUUGUGGGGUGGAGAGAAGUUUGGUCUUUGAAUUUUUAAGUACUCUCUAAACAAUAAAGCAAUUAGCCUUUGUGAUGUAAGUUGCAUUUUUUUUUCUUGCCCUUUAUCAGUUGAUUUUUCUUAAGCUGUUUUUUUCCCCUCUCUUCCAUGAUUUUAAAUUGAAAUUCAGGUUCAUGUCUCUCUCACUCCUUAUAUUGCUAUCAAGUAAAGGUGGCAGAAUUCACCUUUAAAGCAACUGUUAAACAGAAUUACACAGAAAUGAGCAGUAGUCAUAGAUAAAGCUAUUCUUAAAUAUCCAGAAAUAUUCUGAUGUUAGCAUAGCCCAUAAUAACAUAGCCCAUAUGUUAGCAUAGCCCAUAAUAACAUAACACAUUUUUAUUCUCUAAAGAUGUGGACAGGUUGAAGAGCACAAGCUCAUUUAUUUUAAAAAUAUCAGAACACAUUAUUUUGAUAUAUUUUUAAAAAUUUAUGUUUUAAAAAGUUAAUUUAGUAUAUUCUGAAUCCAUACAAAACUAAGCUAGUUACUUUUAUAAUAACAAUUAUUCUUUCAUUUCAAUUUUUAUCAUGUUUUUUAUAAAGAACAUAGCAAAAAGUGCUUUUGAAAUAAAGCUUAGAAAAUAUCCAAAGCUUAUUUUCCAAAUAUUUCUCUUGAGUAGUCUUAACCACCCUUCUCAUAAUCAUUUCAUGCCUCUCUAGUAAAUUAAUUUUUCUCCCUAGAGAAAGUAAAAACUGAUAUAGCAUAUAUUUCACUCCAAACUGUUUAAAAGACUAGGGUUCUGCUCUAUAAAAUAAAAGGAAACUAAGGGGAGAAAAGUACAUGUGUAAAAAAA